rnacentral:misc_RNA from 1 species
UAAGUUUGUUAUGUGGUAAUGUUACUUGCAUGCAAUCAUAAAAAAGCAUGACUAUUUGCAUAUUCAUAUGCAUUUCUAAUUCUCCUAUGGGUGUUUUAUGUAAAUCUAUUUUUUGCUUUUUAAGAAUAGCUAUGUAUUUGAAUAUCUUAACCUUUGUAGUUGCUGAAUCUAUAAUGACUUUGCUAAAGGAAUGCUUGAGCCAUAAGCGUAGGGUUCUUUUUAUAAGCUUAUCAGGGAAAAUGGUGGCUUCAGUUUCCUGAA